AGGGUUUGAUCAUGGCUCAGAACGUACGCUGGCGGCACGCCUAACACAUGCAAGUCGAACGAAGUAGCAAUACUUAGUGGCAGACGGGUGAGUAACAUGUGGGUAUCUGCCCUUUGGCCUGGAAUAACACGAGGAAACUUGUGCUAAUACUGGAUAAGUCUUUACGGAGAAAGCUUUAUGCACCAUUGGAUGAGCCCGCACUUGAUUAGUUUGUUGGUGGGGUAAUGGCCUACCAAGACUUUGAUCAAUAGCUGAUUUGAGAGGAUGAUCAGCCACAUUGGGACUGAGACACGGCCCAAACUCCUACGGGAGGCAGCAGUGGGGAAUCUUGCACAAUGGAGGAAACUCUGAUGCAGCGAUGCCGCGUGAGUGAAGAAGGCCCUUGGGUUGUAAAGCUCUUUCGUCGGGGAAGAAAAUGACUGUACCCGAAUAAGAAGGUCCGGCUAACUUCGUGCCAGCAGCCGCGGUAAUACGAAGGGACCUAGCGUAGUUCGGAAUUACUGGGCUUAAAGAGUUCGUAGGUGGUUGAAAAAGUUGGUGGUGAAAUCCCAGAGCUUAACUCUGGAACUGCCAUCAAAACUUUUCAGCUAGAGUUUGAUAGAGGAAAGCAGAAUUUCUAGUGUAGAGGUGAAAUUCGUAGAUAUUAGAAAGAAUACCAAUUGCGAAGGCAGCUUUCUGGAUCAUUACUGACGCUGAGGAACGAAAGCAUGGGUAGCGAAGAGGAUUAGAUACCCUCGUAGUCCAUGCCGUAAACGAUGUGUGUUAGACGUUGGAAAUUUAUUUUCAGUGUCGCAGCGAAAGCGAUAAACACACCGCCUGGGGAGUACGACCGCAAGGUUAAAACUCAAAUGAAUUGACGGGGACCCGCACAAGUAGUGGAGCAUGUGGUUUAAUUCGAAGAUACGCGCAGAACCUUACCAACACUUGACAUGUUCGUCGCGACUUUAAGAGAUUAAAGUUUUCGGUUCGGCCGGACGAAACACAGGUGCUGCAUGGCUGUCGUCAGCUCGUGUCGUGAGAUGUUGGGUUAAGUCCCGCAACGAGCGCAACCCUCACUUUUAGUUGCCAUCAUUAAGUUGGGCACUCUGAAAGAACUGCCAGUGAUAAGCUGGAGGAAGGUGGGGAUGACGUCAAGUCCUCAUGGCCCUUACGUGUUGGGCUACACACGUGCUACAAUGGUAUCUACAACAGGAAGCGAAACAGCGAUGUUAAGCAAAUCCUUAAAAGAUACCUCAGUUCGGAUUGCACUCUGCAACUCGAGUGCAUGAAGCUGGAAUUACUAGUAAUCGUGGAUCAGCGUGCCACGGUGAAUGCGUUCCCGGGUCUUGUACACACCGCCCGUCACACCAUGGGAGUUGGUUCUACCUUAAGGCAAGGUUUAAUACCCUUGACCACGGUAUAGUCAGCGACUGGGGUGAAGUCGUAACAAGGUAACCGUA
rnacentral:rRNA from 1 species